rnacentral:rRNA from 1 species
GAUGAACGCUAGCGGCAGGCUUAACACAUGCAAGUCGAGGGGUAUAGUUCUUCGGAGCUAGAGACCGGCGCACGGGUGCGUAACGCGUAUGCAAUCUACCUUUUGCAGAGGGAUAGCCCAGAGAAAUUUGGAUUAAUACCUCAUAGUAUGUGAGAAUGGCAUCAUUUUCACAUUAAAGUCACAACGGCAAAAGAUGAGCAUGCGUCCCAUUAGCUUGUUGGUAAGGUAACGGCUUACCAAGGCAACGAUGGGUAGGGGUCCUGAGAGGGAGAUCCCCCACACUGGUACUGAGACACGGACCAGGCUCCUACGGGAGGCAGCAGUGAGGAAUAUUGGACAAUGGGCGCAAGCUUGAUCCAGCCAUGCCGCGUGCAGGAUGACGGUCCUAUGGAUUGUAUACUGCUUUUGUACAGGAAGAAACACUGGUUCGUGAACCAGCUUGACGGUACUGUAAGAAUAAGGAUCGGCUAACUCCGUGCCAGCAGCCGCCGUAACAC